rnacentral:tRNA from 1 species
GGGCUUGUAGAUCAGACCGGUAGAUCGCUUCCUUCGCAAGGAAGAGGCCACGGGUUCGAAUCCCGUCAAGUCCA